rnacentral:pre_miRNA from 3 species
UCUAACGGAUGAAGCAAAGAAAGGGGUUUCUUGAGAUGGAAUCUACUUCUGGUGAAGAUGUUGUGAA